rnacentral:lncRNA from 1 species
AAAAUAAUACUCAUUGUGAGCCGUCUUGAUGAGCCCGGUGACAUAGAAGCUCAAGCUCCAGCAGCAGCAGCUAGGAACUUGGAUUGGGCAAAGAUUGUUGUGGUGUAUUGCUUGUCAACCGGAGUUGCCAUGGCUCUCAUACACACCCAAGUUCGCCCCAGCAAGCUCCCUCUAAGCUUUUUCUUUCUCGGACUGGCAGUCCUACUCGCCUUUGCGUGCAUCAUGGUAAGCAAAUUUGUUCAGCACUCCAAAUGUCCAAGAAUAACACUUCAUCUCUUCCAUUUCUUUGGGAUAUUUUUCGGAGUCACCGCCUUCUUCAUUUCCAUUACAAUCCCUUUUCCUCUCUGGUUUAAAUGUACUGCAUCUGUCAUCUAUUUGGCCUCAGGCCUUGUAGUCAUAUUUUGCCAUCACUUCUAUAAUUAA